rnacentral:lncRNA from 10 species
ACAGAUAUGGAAACUGAGCCCUCACACAUGGACUGAAUUCUGACAAGCAGAGGAUAAAGGCAGAACAACAUGACUGAAGGCGAUGAGGAACAGCUGAUCACCUGUGGAAGUCAUUUGUCCUAAAUUGUCAUGGACAGACCAUGUGCCUUACAGCAAGAAAAUUCUGUGAAUAAACAGGAAGCCAGCCAGCCAGGGAAGAUGCUUUUGUGAUAUAUCCCAGCAUGCUGAUGACCCCAAGGAGGACCACUGGAUACCUAGCAAGGAGCUGGCUGCAGCAUACCAUGAAUCCUCACAGCAACUUAAUGAGCUCGUAUUAGCCUUCCUGAGAGGAGGUGUCUACAGGGAGAGAAAGGAAAAAGAAGAACUGAUUGAAGAGUGGCAACCAGAACCUCUUGUUCCUCCUGUCCCAAAAGACCAUCCUGCUCUCAACUACAACAUCGUUUCAGGAAACAUCUGCGUGAGAAGGGCCCCUCUCAUAAAAUGAAAACAAAGGACAGAAAGCAUUGCUGAGGGCUUAAGGUGUGGAUGAAAUGACACAUUGAAGCUGAAGAAUCCCCAUGUUGACAGCAUUCAAUCCAAGAAAAGCUCCACUGUACACAUGUUCUAACAUAUG